GUGGGGAAUAUUGCACAAUGGGCGCAAGCCUGAUGCAGCAACGCCGCGUGAGGGAUGACGGCCUUCGGGUUGUAAACCUCUUUUAGUAGGGAAGAAGCGAAAGUGACGGUACCUGCAGAAAAAGCACCGGCUAACUACGUGCCAGCAGCCGCGGUAAUACGUAGGGUGCAAGCGUUGUCCGGAAUUAUUGGGCGUAAAGAGCUCGUAGGCGGCUUGUCGCGUCUGCUGUGAAAUCCCGGGGCGCAACACCGGGCCUGCAGUGGGUACGGGCAUGCUAGAGGGCGGUAGGGGAGAUUGGAAUUCCUGGUGUAGCGGUGGAAUGCGCAGAUAACAGGAGGAACACCGAUGGCGAAGGCAGAUCUCUGGGCCGCUACUGACGCUGAGGAGCGAAAGCAUGGGGAGCGAACAGGAUUAGAAACCCGUGUAGUCC
rnacentral:rRNA from 1 species